rnacentral:rRNA from 1 species
GCGGAGGAAAAGAAACCAACCGGGAUUGCCUUACGUAACGGACGAGUGAAGCGGCAAAAGCUCAAAUUUGUAAAUCAUGGUACCUUCGGUGCCCGAGUUGUAAUUUGGAGAGGGCAACUUUGGGGCCGUUCCUUGUCUAUGUUCCUUGGAACAGGACGUCAUAGAGGGUGAGAAUCCCGUGUGGCGAGGAGUGCGGUUCUUUGUAAAGUGCCUUCGAAGAGUCGAGUUGUUUGGGAAUGCAGCUCUAAGUGGGUGGUAAAUUCCAUCUAAAGCUAAAUAUUGGCGAGAGACCGAUAGCGAACAAGUACAGUGAUGGAAAGAUGAAAAGAACUUUGAAAAGAGAGUGAAAAAGUACGUGAAAUUGUUGAAAGGGAAGGGCAUUUGAUCAGACAUGGUGUUUUGUGCCCUCUGCUCCUUGUGGGUAGGGGAAUCUCGCAUUUCACUGGGCCAGCAUCAGUUUUGGUGGCAGGAUAAAUCCAUAGGAAUGUAGCUUGCCUCGGUAAGUAUUAUAGCCUGUGGGAAUACUGCCAGCUGGGACUGAGGACUGCGACGUAAGUCAAGGAUGUCUGGCAUAAUGGUUAUAUGCCGCCCGUCU